rnacentral:rRNA from 1 species
AUACGGCCAUACCAUGCUAAAUAUACCGGUUCUCGUUCGAUCACCGAAGUCGAGCAUCAUUGGGCGCGGUCAGUACUUGGGUGGGUGACCACCUGUGAACACCGCGUGCCGUU